rnacentral:rRNA from 1 species
UACGAAGGGGGCUAGCGUUGCUCGGAAUGACUGGGCGUAAAGGGCGCGUAGGCGGAUUGCUUUGUCGGGCGUGAAAUUCCAGGGCUCAACCUUGGGACUGCGUUCGAGACGGGUGAUCUUGAGUGGGGAAGAGGGUCGUGGAAUUCCCAGUGUAGAGGUGAAAUGCGUUGAUAUCGGGAGGAACACCCAUGGCGAAGGCAGCAUACUGGUCGGCAUCUGACGCUGAGGCGCGAAAGCGUGGGUAGCAAACAGG